rnacentral:rRNA from 1 species
AGCACCACAACAGGUGGAGCCUGCGGUUUAAUCGGACUCAACGCCGGGAAACUCACCAGAUAAGACAGCUGAAUGAUAGUCGGGCUGAAGACUCUACUUGACUAGCUGAGAGGAGGUGCAUGGCCGUCGUCAGUUCGUACUGUGAAGCAUCCUGUUAAGUCAGGCAACGAGCGAGACCCACGCCAACAGUUGCCAGCUCGUCCUCCGGGAUGGUGGGGACACUGUUGGGACCGCUCUGCUAAAGAGGAGGAAGGAAUGGGCAACGGUAGGUCAGCAUGCCCCGAAUUAUCUGGGCUACACGCGGGCUACAAUGGGUGGGACAAUGGGUAUCGACACCGAAAGGUGAAGGCAAUCUCCUAAACCCAUCCGUAGUUCGGAUUGUGGGCUGCAACUCGCCCACAUGAAGCUGGAAUCUGUAGUAAUCGUGUCUCAAAAUGGCACGGUGAAUAUGUCCCUGCUCCUU